rnacentral:misc_RNA from 1 species
GGAAAAGUAAAAAGAGGUGGAGAAGCAUUCAAGGUUUUACAAAAGUUUAAGAAGGCACAGAUGUAGCGAGAGAUAAGAAAAUUUUUGGAGAAGAAGGCUGUUCUUCUGUCAAGGAAAAAGACAAACUCUACGCAAGCAGAACAGAUAGAGAUCGUCACAACAACCCAAUAUUACGUUCCAAACAUGUGACAUGCACCUACCCAAGUCC